AAGUCGUAACAAGGUAACCGUAGGUGAACCUGCGGUUGGAUCAUUAGUAAAUGAACUAUUACAGCGGGUCUUUUAUGGCUUUGCUGUGCUGGUUGCUUCCCCUCAUCCGGGAAGCAAUUCAGUAAAUACUCAUUUGUGAACUGUGUUUUGUCUCUGGCGGUUGGGUUUCCUGAUUCGUUAGGAGGCCUGUCAACACUCUAUUGGUGUCGUGGACAAGCCGCCAAAUGUUUACUUUAUAAAUAACGCAUUUUUAAAUUUGUUUGUCUUACCUGUUUUUGUUUUGUAUGCAUAAUACAAAAAACAACUUUUGGCAACGGAUCUCUUGGCUCUC
rnacentral:misc_RNA from 1 species